CGCACAAAGGAGCAGAUA
rnacentral:misc_RNA from 1 species